rnacentral:tRNA from 1 species
GUGAGAUGGCUCAGUGGUUGAGAGCACUGGCUGUUCUUCCAGAGGACCCAGGUUCAAGUCCCGGUACCCACA